rnacentral:rRNA from 1 species
GACGAACGCUGGCGGCGUGCCUAACACAUGCAAGUCGAGCGGGGACUUAAUCAUGAAGUUUUCGGAUGGAUUGGUUAAGUUCUAGCGGCGGACGGGUGAGUAACGCGUGAGUAACCUGCCUAUCACUGGGGAAUAACGCAGCGAAAGUUGUGCUAAUACCGCAUGAGACCACAGAGGGACAUCCCUUAGGGGUCAAAGGAGCAAUCCGGUUUGAGAUGGGCUCGCGUCCGAUUAGCUAGUUGGUGAGAUAACAGCCCACCAAGGCGACGAUCGGUAGCCGACCUGAGAGGGUGAUCGGCCACAUUGGAACUGAGAAACGGUCCAGACUCCUACGGGAGGCAGCAGUGGGGAAUAUUGGGGCAAUGGGCGAAAGCCUGACCCAGCAACGCCGCGUGAGGGAAGAAGGGUUUCGGCUCGUAAACCUCUGUCCUAUAGGACGAAGGAAGUGACGGUACUAUAGGAGGAAGCCCCGGCGUAACUACGUG